CAAGCAGCCCAGCAGCCGUGGGGCCAGAGGUGGGGGGCAGGGAGGGGGUGAGCCACCCCCAGGGCCCGGGCCUCAGUACCUUCUCGGCCUCUGUGAGAGAGGCACCUGCCUGCGCUGCCCUGGGCCCACACCAGAAUUUUCUCCAUCUCAACUUCUGGUCCUUGAUGAUAAGAAUGCUACUUCGCUUCUGGUGUGGUAAGGAAGACGUCUUCUCAUAUGGGGAUUUCAUCUCCUGCUUUUAAGAAAAAGAAAGAAGGUCAAAGCGUUUUUCUCGUAUUUGCUGUUUUCCCCGUAUCUUUCACUCAACAUAAUCCUUAUGCCAGGCUGGUUUUUUUUUUUUUUUUUUUUUUUAAUCCCUCCAACACCCCUGUUCCUGGCAGCACUAGUCAUCACAACGAAAUGUAGAAGCGACCCUUUGACAGACGUGAACGGGUGAGAUGUGGCCUACACCUCCAUGCGAUUCGGCCUCAAAGGUUCAGGACAAAGGAAGGGGUUUCUGACACCCGCUAUGUGGACGGACCUGGAGGAGGUUAUGGAAAGUGAAAUGAGCCAGUUGCAAGAAAUUAAAUCCUGCAAAUUCCACUCAUGUGAGAACUCUGGAAGAAUUGAGUGGUUGUGACACGGACCAUAUGGCCAGCAAAGCCUGGAGUAAUCGCUCUCCGGCCCUUCGCAGAAGCCGUGUGCCUAUCCCAGACUAAGGAAAACCGCCUCGUGGUUCUGGCUCUGCUCCUCACCGUGGACAAAUCAUCCCACCUUGCUGGGACUCGGGCUUCCCAUCUGAAAAAGAUGUGCUGUUUGGAUACAGUGGUGUUGGAGUCCUCUACCGUCUCUAAAAAUCA